GUUGGUUAUGAGUUUGAAAGCAUAGCCGGCCCGAUAUUUUUGAGAUACGGGAACCCUAAUACGGCUUCAACAAAGAAGGAAAUCGUCCUUCUUCUUCGAUGCGACUUGCGAUGCAGUGACUCCUGCGAUUCUUCUUCUAGAAAGUGAGGUCUGACUGAUAUCACCAUCUUAACUCAUUCGACCCACUCCAAGCACGUUUCCUCAUUCAAUGCAUCGUCCCUCUGUACAAGGCGGUGAGUCUACAUUUAUAUAAAGUUUCUUUCCUACGGCUUGAUGUUUUAAGAAAUUGAUAUCAAUCUCGCUUCUGGAUUUCAGACUUCCGACUUCCUUCAAUGAAGCUGACGGUAACCACGCCACGUCUGAUGAAAUCCCUCUCAGCUGUUCGUCUCAAGAGGUUGUCGGAUGUUCCGCUUCUAGGGAGCUCUCAACAUCAAAGAGGAUGGUGAUAUGUUUUAUAACUGAAUAAUCUACUAAUUCUGGUUUGUUCAUGGUGGGCUAGGUCAACGUUGAUUGAGGAUUGUUUCUUUUGUUUUUGGUGGGUUAGGUCAACGCUGGGAAGCUUCAGAAUUGGCCUCAAGUCAUGGGAUCAACUUCAGAAGCUGUGGUAUGUUGUUCUCCAAUAGAAAAACAUGGUGAUGACUCAGAGCCAUAUGCUUCAGGCCGAACUAAUGUUUCCAAACCCUGAACGCAUUUGAAAGGUAAUAGUAAUUCAAACAUCUCUCAUGAAGGUCAAGAGUUCUAUAUGCCACCUAAAGCAUGUGCUGAGAGGUAAAUGCUCUGUGACCCAUUGUGCUUAUUUUCUUUAUCGAGCAGUAAACUUGAGUCAAUUGACACUUGGGAUUAAGAAUUAAAACUAGCAUUUAAGACACUGAAGAAGAUUAUUUUCUCUUAGAACUGGUCUAAUAAUUCAAAUUUUGUCUCUGGCAAUAUAAAUGUUUGUUCGGUAGUAUAUGCAGAUUUCUGUAAAAUCAUGGUUGAUGUUUAUACUGAGUAUUCAUAGCCUUCUAUCUUCCUAUGAUGAGGGAAGUAUGGUAUGGUGUUAACUUAUUUAUAUCUAUAAAUCUGAUGUUGUGGGUGGAUGCAUUCUUAGCUUUUUCUUUUUGUUUGUCAAUUUUAUGAUACUUUUCUAUUGAUAUGUUGUUUAAAGGCUCCAAAAUGUUUGACUUUGAGAUUAUCUUCUCUGACGAUUUUAUUAUGCUCGCAAGAGUGUGCAGUUCACACAGCUUGAACAUGUUACUUCUCUUGUCACGAAACAGUGGUUUGGUUAUAUCACAAUUAAUAAAUGCGACACCAUUUCUGAGCAGAAUAUAUCUAACAAAUUGUCAUUAUCGUUUUGCAGCGGAAUAUAACUGAGGCGCUUCGAUUUCAGCGGAUAUAAAUUAAGUCAUUUAUUCCAGUAUUAACAGUUUUUGAUUGUCUCAGUUCUUAUUGGAUAAUAUGUGCAUUCUAGCCACUGUAAAACGUAUUAGAUUUUAUUUGUAUACUUGCAAAAACAAAUUUCCACAAUGCACUUAUCUAUCAGAGAUUUUAUUAUUUAUUGUUU